rnacentral:rRNA from 1 species
AGAGUUUGAUCCUGGCUCAGGAUGAACGCUGGCGGCGUGCUUAACACAUGCAAGUCGAACGAUGAUCCGGUGCUUGCAUCGGGGAUUAGUGGCGAACGGGUGAGUAACACGUGAGUAACCUGCCCUUAACUCUGGGAUAAGCCUGGGAAACUGGGUCUAAUACCGGAUAUGACUCCUCAUCGCAUGGUGGGGGGUGGAAAGCUUUUUUGUGGUUUUGGAUGGACUCGCGGCCUAUCAGCUUGUUGGUGAGGUAAUGGCUCACCAAGGCGACGACGGGUAGCCGGCCUGAGAGGGUGACCGGCCACACUGGGACUGAGACACGGCCCAGACUCCUACGGGAGGCAGCAGUGGGGAAUAUUGCACAAUGGGCGCAAGCCUGAUGCAGCGACGCCGCGUGAGGGAUGACGGCCUUCGGGUUGUAAACCUCUUUCAGUAGGGAAGAAGCGAAAGUGACGGUACCUGCAGAAGAAGCGCCGGCUAACUACGUGCCAGCAGCCGCGGUAAUACGUAGGGCGCAAGCGUUAUCCGGAAUUAUUGGGCGUAAAGAGCUCGUAGGCGGUUUGUCGCGUCUGCCGUGAAAGUCCGGGGCUCAACUCCGGAUCUGCGGUGGGUACGGGCAGACUAGAGUGAUGUAGGGGAGACUGGAAUUCCUGGUGUAGCGGUGAAAUGCGCAGAUAUCAGGAGGAACACCGAUGGCGAAGGCAGGUCUCUGGGCAUUAACUGACGCUGAGGAGCGAAAGCAUGGGGAGCGAACAGGAUUAGAUACCCUGGUAGUCCAUGCCGUAAACGUUGGGCACUAGGUGUGGGGGGCAUUCCACGUUUUCCGCGCCGUAGCUAACGCAUUAAGUGCCCCGCCUGGGGAGUACGGCCGCAAGGCUAAAACUCAAAGGAAUUGACGG